UGCCCGAUUUUAUUUAUUUUCCAAUUGGUUCUCUUUCUAAUGAUAGAAGAGAUUUGUUAACUUGAAGAGUGUCCUGGUCCACCUCACUGACCUGCCCGGCAUAAAAUGAUGUGGAGGUGCACCCUGCAUUUACAUUUCUGCACAAGAUCAAGAGAACAAGCCCCAUUUAGAUAUCAAGAGAAGAGGAAAUCCCUGAAGUCAAGUGCAUUUCUAUCAGUGUUCGUCACACAGAAAGGUAAGCGAAAUAUCUGCAUACUCAUCUUAUGCCAAUCAAAUAUUCAAUACUAUGAUCAGAUGUUAGUCCGUUCAUUGUUUUAACACCUGUGGUUUUCAUUGUAAUUUUUGGG
ensembl:lncRNA